CAUGUCCUUUUGGUUAUAAUUUAAGGUCUGAUCUGCUCAAUGAUAAAUUAAAUUGCCGCAGUAUUUUAACUGUGCAAAGGUAGCAUAAUAAUUAGUUUUUUAAUUGAAAACUGGAAUGAAUGAUUGGACAAGAAAAUUUCUGUCUCUUUUUAUAAUUUUGAAUUUAAUAUUUAAGUUAAAAAGCUUAAAUGAUGUUUUUAGACGAGAAGACCCUAUAGAGUUUGAUUUGAUUUAAUUUUAUUAUUAUUUGGUAAUUAGGUAUUAUAUUAUUAUUAUUAAAUUUGGUUGGGGUGACUUAAAAAUAUAAUAAACUUUUUUACAAAAUUAAUUAAUUAUAAUUAAACGGAAAAUCUAAUUAUUUUAAGUUUAAAAUAAAUUACCUUAGGGAUAACAGCGUUAUUUUUAUUUGAAGUUCUUAUUUAAAUUAAAGAUUGCGACCUCGAUGUUGGAUUAAAAUUUACUUUUGGUGCAGUUGCUUAAAAGUUAAGUCUGUUCGACUUUUAAAAUUUUACAUGAUCUGAGU
rnacentral:rRNA from 1 species